rnacentral:rRNA from 1 species
AAUAUUGGACAAUGGGCGCAAGCCUGAUCCAGCCAGUCCGCGUGUGUGAAGAAGGUCUNAGGAUUNUNAAGCAUGUUAAUUUGGGNGGAAGGGCAGUUAACGAAUACUUAACUGUUUUGACGUUACCAAAAGAAUAAGCACGGGCUAACUUCGUGCCAGCAGCCGCGGUAAUACGAAGGGUGAAAGCGUUAAUCGGAUGUACUGGGCGUAAAGCGCGCGUCGGUGGGUCGUUAAGUUGGAAGUGAAAGCCCCGGGCUCAACCUGGGAAUUGCUUUCAAAACUGGCGAGCUAGAGUACGGUAGAGGGUGGUGGAAUUUCCUGUGUAGCGGUGAAAUGCGUAGAUAUAGGAAGGAACAUCAGUGGCGAAGGCGACCACCUGGACUGAUACUGACACUGAGGUGCGAAAGCGUGGGGAGCAAACAGG